GAUGAACGCUGGCGGCGUGCCUAAUACAUGCAAGUCGAGCGAACAGACGAGGAGCUUGCUCCUCUCACGUUAGCGGCGGACGGGAGAGAAACACGUGGAUCAUCUCCCUAACUGACUGGGAUCACCUCGGGAAACCGGCGAAAAUCGCGGAUAAUAUCUUGAACCACAUGGUUCAAUAGUGAGAGACGGUUUUGCUGUCACUUAUAGAUGGAUACGCGCCGCAUUAGCUAGUUGGUAAGGUCAAAGGCUACGAAGGCAAGGAUGCCUAGCCGACCGCAUAGGGGGAUAGCCCACCUGGGAACGGAGACACGGUCCAUAGUCCUGCGGGAGGCAGCAGUCGGGAACCGGCCGCAAUGGUGGAAAGCCUGACGGAGCGACGCGGCGUGAGUUAUGACGGCGUUCGGAGCGGAAUACUCGGUUAUGAGUGAAGAACAAAUUUGUAAUGAACUGUGGACUGCUUGACGGUACCGAAUCAAGAAGCCACGGCUAACUACGUG
rnacentral:rRNA from 1 species